rnacentral:rRNA from 1 species
UGGGGAAUAUUGGACAAUGGGCGAAAGCCUGAUCCAGCCAUGCCGCGUGUGUGAAGAAGGUCUUCGGAUUGUAAAGCACUUUAAGUUGGGAGGAAGGGCAGUAAGCGAAUACCUUGCUGUUUUGACGUUACCGACAGAAUAAGCACCGGCUAACUCUGUGCCAGCAGCCGCGGUAAUACAGAGGGUGCAAGCGUUAAUCGGAAUUACUGGGCGUAAAGCGCGCGUAGGUGGUUCGUUAAGUUGAAUGUGAAAGCCCCGGGCUCAACCUGGGAACGGCAUCCAAAAAUGGCGAGCUAGAGUAGGGCAGAGGGUGGUGGAAUUUCCUGUGUAGCGGUGAAAUGCGUAGAUAUAGGAAGGAACACCAGUGGCGAAGGCGACCACCUGGGCUCAUACUGACACUGAGGUGCGAAAGCGUGGGGAGCAAACAGG